UGAGAAUACUAAGUAUAAGUAUCCUAUG
rnacentral:piRNA from 1 species